AACGAACGCUGGCGGCAGGCUUAACACAUGCAAGUCGAGCGCCCCGCAAGGGGAGCGGCAGACGGGUGAGUAACGCGUGGGAACGUACCCUUUGCUACGGAAUAGCUCCGGGAAACUGGAAUUAAUACCGUAUGUGCCCUACGGGGGAAAGAUUUAUCGGCAAAGGAUCGGCCCGCGUUGGAUUAGCUAGUUGGUGGGGUAAUGGCCUACCAAGGCGACGAUCCAUAGCUGGUCUGAGAGGAUGAUCAGCCACAUUGGGACUGAGACACGGCCCAAACGCCUACGGGAGGCAGCAGUGGGGAAUAUUGGACAAUGGGCGCAAGCCUGAUCCAGCCAUGCCGCGUGAGUGAUGAAGGCCUUAGGGUUGUAAAGCUCAUUCACCGGAGAAGAUAAUGACGGUAUCCGGAGAAGAAGCCCCGGCUAACUUCGUGCCAGCCACCGCCGUAACAC
rnacentral:rRNA from 1 species